rnacentral:antisense_RNA from 1 species
CGUAGGAGCUGCCGAAGGCUGCGAUCUUUUGAUCUUGAUCUUAAAAACAAAGUCAAAAGAUCGCAGCCUUCGGCGGCUCCUACA